rnacentral:piRNA from 1 species
UAUUUCAGGUCAGGGCCUCUCUUU